AUUAAUAAGAUUGUUUUAAUUAUUUUUUAUUUAAUAUGUUAAAUUAAGUAAGUUAAGGUUUUUGUAAAGUAAAUUGAUAAAAUUGAUUAUACUAUAGUAAAUUAGUAUUGUGAAAGAAUUUAAUAUAUGUUUAGAUAUAAUUAUGUAAAUUUAAUUUGGUUAAUUGUAUCUUGUGUAUCAGAGUAUAUUAAAAUAAAUUAUAAAUUUUUGUUUUUCUCGAAUUUUAAAGAUUUAAAUAGGUAUUUUAGUUGUUGUGUCAUAAAUAUUAAAAAUACUUAUUUGGUAAUGAAAUGUUAAUCGUUUUAAAUGAUAUCUAGUUUUUUAAUAAAUGAAUUUAAUUCAGAAAAUAUAAAUUAUUUAAUAAUUUGUUAUUAAAAUAUUUUAUGUUUUUAAUUUUUAAAGGGUUAAACUUUUAAAAAUAAAAUUAUAAUAAUGAUUUAAUUUAGAAUUAUGUGAAUUUAGAAUUUGUUAUUAUUUAAGUAUGUUAAAAUUUAAUUCUUUUUUUAAAAGUAUUUUUAAAUAUUAUUUAAUUUUUAUAUUAAAAUGUUGAGUUUAAUUUAAAAUUUUUAAUAAGUAUGAUUUAAUUAGUAAAAUAAAGUAUUAUUAAAUAAUUAAAAUUGAAAUAUUAUUAUAAAGAAUUAGGCAAAUAUUUUCGCUCACCUGUUUAUUAAAAACAUGGUUUCUUGAUAUUAUUUAAGAGAUUUAACCUGCCCACUGAAGAUGAUUUUAAAGGGCCGCAGUAUCUUGACUGUGCAAAGGUAGCAUAAUCAUUAGUCUUUUAAUUGAAGGCUGGUAUGAAUGGUUGGAUGAGGUGAAUACUGUUUUAUAUUAAUACAAUUGAAUUUAGAUUUUAAGUAAAAAAACUUAAAUAUAAUUAAGGGACGAGAAGACCCUAUAGAGUUUAAUAAGUGUAGUAAAUAGUUAAGUUAAUAAAUAAUUUUUAAUUAUUAUGUAAUUUAUUUAAUUGGGGUGAUUAAAAGAUAACAUUAACUCUUUUUAAAAUUAAAUAUUAAUAAUUAGUUUUAUGAUCCAUAAUUAAUGAUUGAAAGAUUAAAUUACCUUAGGGAUAACAGCAUAAUUUUUUUUGAGAGUUCUUAUCGAAAAGAAAGAUUGUGACCUCGAUGUUGGAUUAAGAUUUAUUUUAGGUGUAGGUGCUUAAAUAUUAGGUCUGUUCGACCUUUAAAAUCUUACAUGAUCUGAGUUUAAACCGGCGUAAGCCAGGUUGGUUUCUAUCUUUAAUUUAAUUAAAUAUUUUAGUACGAGAGGACCAAAUAUUUAAAAUAAUUUUUAAAAGGUAAUGAAUAUUAAUAAUUA
rnacentral:rRNA from 1 species